GUUUUCCUGGAAUGUGCGACAAUCCUAUUGUUUUUGAACCUACAUCUUCUUAAAGGGAUUCCAACAUCGCAAGUAGGAUGUCAGACCUCUCGUUGUGGUAGGCAGAAUACUUGUUGAGGAAACCCACCUAGCAAUCCGCUAGGCGUCAAAAAAAUAGGACCGGCAUUUUGGGGCCACA
rnacentral:other from 1 species